CCCAUACAUCUGACGACGCCGUACGUGUGAUGUGAGCUAGAAUUUUCUUGAGGGCAGACUACUGCACCAGUAUGCUGUAAGGUAACCUACUGUCCAGCCCAGUGGAACUUAAGCUAACCGCUGGCCAGGCAACCCCGUCUGUAUGUACAACAUGGCAGAAGAGAUGGUUGCAGGACAUUCAGGGGAAGAGGAGUCUUCAGCAGAGGAUGACAACAGCAUGUCGGAGGACCCCAGUACUGUAGAAGACAGUGUUUCAGAGGAUAGCGGUGCUCCCACAGCAAACCAGGAGUGUUGGCAGUUUGAUCCGAGAUACGCCAAGUACUGGCAGCACUGGCACAGCAUGAUGGGCUGGUACCAGCGGCACAGGAGGGCUCCAGCACAGGUCUGGGCAGUCUGGCAGCACGUCAUGCAGAACGGAUAUGCUCCGAUGGAACCAUGUGGAACAAGGACCAAUCAUCACUGGAGGAGCAGACACUUCAGGGACAGAAGUCACUCCGGAGACAGAAGUCACUCCGGAGGCAGGAGUCACUCUGGAGACAGAAGUCACUCCGGAGGCAGGAGAAGUGCUUCAACUUCGAGAAAUCCUCCCAUAAACUCAAAUGCAAACCAGCGUAGAAGACGGACUAAACGUAAUAAGAAACACAGAAAGAGGCAUAAGAGAAAGAAUGUUCCAAAGCAGAGUGAUACAGAGACAAUGGACAGCACAGGAGAAACAGGGAGCGGCGACGUCCCCGAGAUUUCUCCUGAGUUCCGUGAGUUCAUGGCGGUGACGGCGAGACAUCGGGAGGAGCGGAGGAGACAGAGGGAGGAGGCAGCGAGGGUGGCUGCUGCGGAGGAGGAUGACUACAUCCAGGCUGACAAGCUGGGUCUGCCGAGGUACGGCCGGACCACGACGGAGGCUCCAGCUCAACAGCCGGGUCAGCAGCGUAAAGCGGAGAUGAAGCUGCUGUACGGCGCCCGGGCUGCCGUCAUUCACGGCCUGGAGACGGCCAUGCAGAUGGAGUUCGACGCCAGCUGUGACCUCAGACAACCCAAACUGUGGCCAACCAUCCCUCUCAAACUGUAGCCAACCCAAACUGUGGCCAACCAUCCCUCUCAAACUGUAGCCAACCCAAACUGUGGCCAACCAUCCCUCUCAAACUGUAGCCAACCCAAACUGUGGCCAACCAUCCCUCUCAAACUGUAGCAACCCAAACUGUGGCCAACCAUCCCUCUCAAACUGUAGCAACCCAAACUGUGGCCAACCAUCCCUUUUAAACAGUAGCAACCCAAACUGUGGCUUGAGCGAUUCCUCUUAUUAAUUGUAAAGUCAAACUUGCCUUGGAUUGUAAUCUGCUACUUUCUGAAAACUUAUAAUGUGCCCGUUUUAUACAGUCCUGCAACAAUAUAGGUCACUGAGAAGGAACAAUGACAGUAUUAAUGUGGCCAGACUUUCUUGAUGAAAUCCCAGGAAAACAUCAACAGUCAAAGACUCGGACAAUACAAGAGGAGAUAUGUGACUUGAUGGGCUUGUAUUGUCCCAGUUGAUAUGCCCAAUUUUUUUAGAAAUUUGUGCUUGUCAAUGUUGAAUAAUUUUCAGCUUUUGAUAUGUCAGUACAUAUAGUUCAAAAUUGAAGAUAACAGCCAUGAUUAGAAAUUAUAUGUAGGAUAGUGUUUUAAUUUACUUUCUCUGAUUAUCUUGACUGUCUUUUUAUUCACGCCACUGAAUAAACAAACCAUGUUCUACUUGUCAGAUUGCUGCGCAUC